GGGAGAACGACCAGGAGAAAGGAAGAACACCCAAACCCUUAUAUCAUCUAACUUGAUCAAUUGAAGGGUGAAUUGGGCAUGUAACCACUGCAUGAAUCAAAAAUCUUGAUCACCAACACUUGUCUAACACUAGGCAACACGAGUGAGGCGUCGGGAAGUCAAGCCGGUGCGGACACUCGCUUAAAAGGGAAGCUUUGAGGCAACACGAGUGAGGCGUCGGGAAGUCAAGCCGGUGCGGACACUCGCUUAAAAGGGAAGCUUUGAGCUUCAAGUAUGUCAAGCAAGCGGAUGAUGAUCAAUUCAAGGCUCACGAACCGAACACAUUCAAGAAUUAGUUCCGCAACUUUGUCUUGGUUAAUCAUUAGUGAAACCUUUGUAAUAGAAGGAAUACUUAUGUAUCCUAAUAUUGUUUUUGGAAGGUUGAUAAACUCGUAUGUACUAAGUUAGGAACAAUAUUAAUGUUUUGUUUUAAACUG